GUUCAGUUGGCAGAUACAGAGGCGAUCAGUUUACUCGCCUUGCUGUUUAAAAAUCAUGAUAAUUUUGCACUCCCUUUGAGAAAUGGGUAAGUUCAGAAAUCAGUUUUGGGACUAUCUUUAUUUAACUAAGGCAUAAGUGACUGCACCUUCAGCAAAUUUAAUUCCUGGCUUCAGACUGCAGUAAUCUUAAAUGAGACAUUUUGUUGUAUGCUUAUAACCUCAGGGAUUUUAUCUGCUGCCGUCGUGGUCUUUUGAGGAGGAUUCUCCUGUUGCAAAGGAUGUCUACAAUGUAAUGAAUGGCAAGAAGUAUCAGGAGUAUUUUGAGUGCUUAAACCCAUCCGAGGUUUAUUAAUUUUCCGGAUAUGGGUUAACAUGGUUCCAUGAAUAGGCACAAGGCCUAGAGAGUAGGAUUAGGAAGGUUUCCAGGGAUUCUGAACUCAUGUCAAGCAAAACUGGCAUGCUGGGCAGCUAAGUCAACUGAAUAGGGAAAAGACUUUGAAAGUGCUUUAUCUCACUGCAUAAUGUUUGUCAAUUUCAUUCAAUUAAUUUACAGCUGCAGGGCUCAUGAGGCUGAAAUUAAAGUUUUGUAAAGUUUCGAUAAGGAGGCAGCCAAACAAGUUUGAUUAGCAGUGGAUGUUUUGGAAAUGAGUUGGCAGCCAUGCAAAAAUAGAGGGUUUGAAUUUCAGGAGGCACGUUGGCAUGGCAGUGCCCAUUUGAUUAACCGUGGAAAGCCCAUUACUUUCCACCUGGCAUUUCGGGCAUUUCUUUUCUCUGUGUGUCUUCUCUGAGGUAACCUCUAACAUUGGAAUAAACAUCUUUUUAGUUAAGUCUCAUCAGCCCAUUGUUCUUAGUCUGUUUUAUUAGCAAUAAAUCCGUUGUCUGUGUUAUUCUUUCUACAGCCAUACAACAUGCUCUUUAGUCUUUCUUUCCAAAUUGUAGACAUUUCAGUAAGGUGUUUCUCCCUCUGCAGGUUGGGGCAGCACAGGGCCUUUCACUUGGAGUUCAGGAGUUGAGUUGUAUGAGUUGUGGCUGAAGGGUCACAGACAAGGGGGCACAGCACCUUUUCACAUAAUAUUUAGCAGGCUAGAGUCUGUACAAUAACAUUGAUCAUUGUUCAUUUUUAGUGCUUUUUUUUUGGUGAAAUAAAACAUGACCCUAAUCCUCAACAGGAAAAUUUCAUCCUCCUAAACGGGAUUUGGUGCUGACAAAGAUUCUUUGCUUUUCUAAACUUUAGUCAGGUUCCUGAACUCUGUCCCCACCAGGGCCCAUCUGUGCAUUUUAGCAAGGACCCUGCUAAGUCAAUUUAGCCAGAACCCCAGUCCUUCAUAUCUGAUCAGUCUCAGUGUCUGAUCGGCUUCCUCAUCCCCCAUCGGGUGAUGUGUCAUCAUCUUGGCCUGUCUUUGGCAAGAAUCCUGUUAGGAUGGUGUGGCCAGAAUGUCCUCUUACCUGUGAUUUUGCCUCUUAAUAAUUUUUCAUUCACCGACUGCCACCCUCCUCUUUGGCUAUAAAUUCCCACUUGCCGAUGCUGUGUUUGGAUUCAGCCUGGGGUCUUGACUGAGAUCUCUUUCCCCCUGUUGCUGUAGUCCUGAUAAAAAAUAUUUUCAUUGCUCUGCUCUCCAGCUCUGCUUUUCCUUUGACAGUAGCCUAUUUAAAAAAUGAUAUAGGAGCAGGAGGGGGAACGCAAGGGUUGGGGAAGGACAUAGAGGUGGUUUCAACUGUAUCUAUAAUUUUUUUUUUAUCAUGGGGAGGAAAGGUCUCAAGCGAAUAUGGAAGGUAAACAUGAGGAAAUUGGUUCUGGUACACUGGAGUUUCUUAUUUUACUCCCUUUGCUUUUUAAACUGUCUCGCGAAAGGCUUGUGUUAUUUUUCCCCCCAUUUCCAGUCUGUCCCAGACGAAUAUCGUCCUAUUGCAACAUGACCAGCCUGCAGCUCUUGCCCCAUGUGUCACUUUUAUACACAAGUUCGACAAGACCCGAACCAGCCAGUACCUUCUCCCAGGAGACGAGCCCACUCAGCCUGCAUUUUGAUGGAUCAGCCGUGUCACAUUGCUGUAGAAAUUUCUAAAUACUUAUUCUUUUUAUUUUGUUUCUUAUUUCACAGUGGAUCCACAACAGUCUCUGGUGAACAGCAUGCUCUGAGUAGCACCGUUCUAGUCUUUGUAUACCAGGGAUGUUUCACAGUAAAUGUUUAAAUCAUUUUGGACAUAUUUAUGUUUUCAAAGUAUUUUAUGUUAACUCAUUUACCCAGUUCUGCAUAUUCGCUCUUACAAGUGGGUGAUUCUUUUAUUCCACAAAUUUAUCUCCAUCUUGGAGCUUUGUUAGGUGCUCCUGAAAAUUCAGUGGUAAGACUUGUUCUUGCCUUAUCUCAGCCAGUGAAUAUUCAAAGAUGUGUAAUUCAUAGACUUUUCUUUCAAAGGAGCUCCCAUUUUAGAGUGGAGCUAGAACUAAUAGUUUGUGUUCCAUACCAGGCGUAUAAGAUAAAUGCUACAGAAACCCUGAAAAGAGUCAUGAUUUGUAAUUGGGCAGGUUGAAAGGUUUUAUAGAAGAAUGGCCCAUCUGAACAAGGUUUUCUUCAAGGAUGAGUAGGGAGUUUUCAGGGUGACAGAGGGAUAAAGUCAAAGGAAAAAAGCAUGAGCACAAAUGAGGAGAGAUGGCACACAGCACCUGCUGAGAAGUGAUCAGCAGAUGGGUGGGUUCUAGAAUGCACCCAGGGAGGUAGCUCACGUUUUAAAGUGGAGGACAGGCACUUAAAUACAGCAGUGUGGUUGGAGUGGAUAGGCUCACAGGAGCCGUAGCAAAAUUAGCAAAUCUUGCUGAGAAUGUGGGGCCAUGAAUGUCAGUGAAGGAGAAUAGUUUUUGUUUUUUGUUUUGAUAGAGACAGGGUCCCCUUCUGUUACCCAGGCUGGGGUGCACUUGUAUGAUCAUAGCUCACUGCUGCUUUAAACACUUGGGUUUAAUACCACCUCAGCCUCCGGAGUAGGUAGGAUUAUUAUUAUUAUUAUUUUUUUUUUUUUUGAGAGCCAAGGUCUCACUUUGUUGGCCAGGCCAGUCUCCAACUCAUGGCCUCAAGCAAUCCUCCUGCCUCAGCCUCCCAAAGCACUGGGAUUACAGGUGUGAGCCACCAUGCCUGGCCUAGAAUACUGUUAGGAGAUGAGAACGUGCUAGCCGGUGAAAACAAGAGAGACAUUCCAAGAAGGGACUGUAGGGUUUAGAGGAAGAGAUGGCUGGGGCCAGAUUCUCAGAGGCUGGGUUCUAUAUGGCAUGUGAGAAUUUGUGGUUGAGUGAGAAAGAGAGGAACAGCGAUUAAAGGGUUUACCCUUUAAUGGAGAAGUAAGCAACCAAAUGGAGUUUCAGUGGGAUUGUGCUGGCCAUUAUGGAGAAGGGGAUCUGAGAUGUAGAGAAGAAGGGAGACACCUGAGAGACGGUGCAGUGGUUCAGGUGAGAAAUAUUUGGAAUCUGAACUAGAGCAGCAAUAUUGGGGACAGACUAAAGAGUUAAUAAAUAGAAAGUAAAAUUGGUAGGACAUCGAGGUGGAUUCAAGUCAGAAAGUAGGAGAGAGGCAAGGAGUUCGAGGUGACACAGGUUCAAGCUUGAGCUACGUACAUAGUGGAAGCAUUGCUAAGAGCCUGUGCGUGCUGGGAAGAAGGAUGAUGAGUUCAGCUCCAGAAACCAUAUGAGGUGCCUGGAGAUCUUUAGCAGGCAGUUAUGUACUCAGAUGCAAAGGUCUGUGGAGAAAUUAAAGCCGGAUAGAACUUUGGGAAUCAUCAGCAUUUAGGAAUAGAUUGUUAAAAUGGAUAAUGGAGGUAUUUACGUAGGCCGAACAAAGAGAAUUUCAAACACCUGCAUCCUGUUUAAUUCUUCAGUUUAAAUUUACCAACAAACAUAAAAGUUGUCAGUGAAUCCAGUGUUCAACAAUCACUAGUUUUUCUUAGCCCCAUUGGGACCAAACCCAAACUAGUCUUAAAUUUUAUUUGCACCUUUUUGGGUUUGAAGCUUGAUUGUUCGGGAUAUUGGUGACAGUGCUAGGACUCAGUGUCAGUCAUUGUUCCAUUGCCUAUUGAGGACAUAGUUCUACUUCUUUUGGACAGACAGCCUUGCUUUAUUCAAGCGUCCCAUGGAAAUCAGUUUGUUGCCACAGAGAAGCAGAUGGGUAGAUAGAAUGGUCAAAUUUUGCUGUCCCUUCACUAAUAACUUAGAGAACUGUUUAUUCACAGCCGGCCAUGAAACAAAGUAAAUGUUUGUUUCAAAAUACGUAUCAAAUUGAAUAUUAUUCUGAAGAAACAACUUGCCCGAUAGGCCCGACACAAACUGGCUAUUACCAUUUAUUUUCAACUUAUCAGUCUGAUACAACCAAAGAGAUUAAAUCUGAUAGUUGAAAACUAUUGUAGGUCUCUAGCAUUAUUUAAAGAUGGAGACUGGUUAGAAGAGGUUGGCUGGAAAAGGGUGGGAGAAAAGCAAAAUAGGAAAUGUUUUGUUCCUUUUAUGACCAAAAAUUCUACUAUUCCCAGAGAUAGCCUAGAAGUAGUUUGGCAAAUGACAUUUUAGUUAUUUUUGGAGCUGCUUUUCAAUAUUUUAACAUGUGUUUAUGUGUAAGCC
rnacentral:lncRNA from 1 species